CUCUAUCUAGCUCUAUUCCUUUUAUCAGCAACACCUCUUCUUCAUCCUCUUUCUCCUUCUUGCUUCUUGAUUUCUUUGGCCUCGGAACUUCUACUCUUAUUACUGAGUUAAGAGGUUUUGGGAAGCCUCCACUGCUGCUGAUCGUCGUCUUUGGGAGUUCCGCCGCUUUCGCUACUCCCGACUUGGAACUUUUGGUGGUCGUCUUCGCUUUGGGCUGCGUACUUUUUUUUAGCCAUGGAAUAGGAAUAUCCUGAUAUUUGUAUCUCAGCUUGAGAUGGUCGAGGCAGUCUCGGACCUUGACGCGAACAAGUUGGGCGUUCUCGUCGUAGAAGACGAACCCGGCGUUUAGCCAAUCUGGGUCCGUGAAUUCCGUUCUAUUUUUACCUCCUAUAGCUUUCCAUAGCGUCCACAUACGGUCGACGUUGGAGUGGUGACCGAAAAAUAUGGGGUCUCUGCCGGCAGUAUAGAAGUUUCCCAUGUCCUCAUGAGGCUCGUCAAAAAGUCCAGUCCAUAUGUGGACUGGACCAUGUGGGACGUUCUCAAUGGUACCCGGUCCGGGGUCAGGCUGAUCGCCAGCACGGUAUGGGGCACCAAAGAAUAGCUUAGCAGUCGUGGCACCCGACACAACUUGCCGGUACAUGAUUGACAGGUUGUUGGCAACUAAUUCCGAAACUGGGAUUGUGGGUUCGGUGAAAUCGUAGUCGAGAUCGAUUACAGUCGGAGGCAGGUGGUUGGCGUUGCGCUUCGCGUCGUAGAGUGUUGAUGUGGAAUCAGCAUAGAUGCCCGGCAUUUGCAUUCCAGGAGGAGGGGAAUCCCAGCUCCAAUAGGGCAAAGCGAAGGUGGGAUCGUUAAUCAGUUUUGCAAGAAUUCUCUCAUGAAAGUAGCAAUAGAAACGGUGGAAAGGGAAGAAAAGCCAUGAAAAAUGAACCUGGAGCUCUAGGUCCGGAAACCCAACCUGAUCAUAAGCCCCAUCGCAAUAGGCGCAAUGGACAUUGGCCUGCUGCAUGAAGCUCCGUGGAUCAUCAUCAGGAAGAGCUUUCAUUAGCUCAAUGGCCUUUUUAUACUUGGCUAUGUACUCUUUGCUGACCAAGUGAGCAGCUGGCCUAAUGCGCAUGGGGGAAUCUGGGGAAGGUAGCUGGAAAUCUAUAAUCUUUGUGGUGGCUGGCGGGCAACAAUUUGUGGGCGUUACACCCUCAGGCACGGUGGCGGCACCACACUUGUUUACAUCCGGUGCCUGGAUGGGAGCCCCAAAGGCUAAUGGCUCAGUGGCGCCGAGGCCGCCAGCGGCACCAUACAGCCCUCCUAUGCCAAGAAGCACAUUCCUCCUAUCUAACUUCCCUGGGGAAGUUUCUCGAAUGUCGGAGGUAGAAUCCGAGUUUGGAUCACCAUUUGUAGAAUUGCACGACACUUUACUAGGAGCAGAUCUGUGGUUUCGAUUUCUGACUCCCCCGAGAAACCCUGUGAAACAAGGGAGAAGGUGACAAGGCCGAAAUGUUGGAGGUGGUGACGGUGGCGGUGGCGGUGGCGGUGGAGGUUGUGAGCUGCCAAGGCAAAGAAGCCAUAGCUUUAGAGGAGUUACGGGUGAUAAGUGAGACCGCUCUAUGGCCUCAGUCUCUGUACAGAAUGAACUGGGGUAGGUAGUACGUAUUCUUACCUUAGGGAUGUCGAGAAAACACUUGCCGUAGAAAAGUAAAUAAAUAAAAAGCUGAAAAGGACAAGGAAAACUGAUUUUCUGCACUGUAUAGGCCCCCCAUGGAAAUCUCCCAUUAUCCAUUUGGAAUCAUCCUAUUCCUUGCUUUAUCUUCAAUAUUGAUAAAUGCUGCUUCUUCAUGGAGUUAACAGCAACGAAAAAUAGUUCCUUAAUUAAUUAUUUGUCGAGAUUAAGAACAGACACUUCGAUUUUCCUCAAACAAAACACCAUGCACGUAUCUCUUUGUUGGAAACUUACACAUUUAGCUUCGCCAUUGAUAACACAAACACCCACUGCCUGCAUCUUCAUUUAUCACGUAACUGCAUAAAUGCUUAUUUAAAUUACAUGAAUAUAUAAUUUUAAUCUCAAAAAAAAAUGCAGCAACUCCCCACAUGAUUUUUUUUUCCCUUUUUUGUUUUUCUCUCUUGAUAUUUAGAGAUAAAGGCAGCUAAGAUUCGCCACGUUAUAUUCCUCUACGAUAGAGAAACCUUUGUCACUCCUCUCACUGGGUCAACAGUAGAUAUCAUCUUUGUGGUCCAUAAACAACGUGACAUUUGGAUUAUUAGUCUGUAUUUUUAUGAGUCUUCCGUGCAUCAAUUUUUUUGGUAUUUUAGAUAAUGGUAGAUUUUGAGGAAGAGAAAGACAACAUGACAUUUAAUUCUUGUUUUAUACUACAAACUUGUGCUAGAUAUUAUAAGAAGGGUUUUGAGUAUGAUCAACCUAAGCGUUUCCUAAUUAAAAAAUAAUUUUCUUUUCCAAAAAUAGAACUUAAAAACCAUUUUUAAAAGUUUAAAACGUGACUAAUUUUAUUAAUUUAAUAAAUAUUUCUGAUAAAAAUUAUUUUUUUAGUUAUUUAAUAUAUUAUCCAAAACACCUAAAUUAUGUACAAUGGAAGUCAUAUAAGUUAAAUGAUCAAAUUAAUGUCAAUACAUAAAAAGGGGUAACAAAUAAAAUAUCAUAACUAAAACUUAAUUUGUUACUUUAUGUUUUAUUUGUAGGACUCAAUCCCAAUAGUUAUAACAAGUAUAAAUUGUUUUCCAUUAUUUUUUUAUUUUAAUAAUCGUGGAUUUCUGAUCCAGUUUAUACACACCUCAACUAAUCCCACGGGGAGCAAACCUAAUACCGGACCAACUGAGCUACCCCUCAAGCCUAUUGUUUUGCAUCAUUUUUACAUCGUAUAAUUAUAUAACAAGUAGUCAUCAAAUGUAUUACAAAUAGUUAUUGAUAUUAAAUCUAAAAAAAAAAGGGUAUUUAAAUUGGCAUUUGCUAUGUAAAUAGCAUAAAAGAAAUUAGGAAAAGUAGGAAGAAGAAAAAUAGUAUACUUCCAAUUAUUGAUUUGAAAAUCUAGCCCAUGAUCUUGGAUAUCCCAUAAUAUAUUUAGCAACUUCUUGAAUCCUCUUAAAGAAACCAAAAACUCUUUUCUAAAUCUAAUAUAUUUGUUUAAUUUUGUUUAAAGAACUUAUAAUUAAAAAAAUAACAUAAAAAUGAGAUAAAUAUUAUUUCUUAUAAAAAAAUAUUUUAAAUUGUACAAAAAGUUGUUUGAUUUUUUAUGAAUUAUUUAUAACCCCCCAUAUUAUCUUAUAAAAGUUGUAAAUUUAACUUCAAUUUCCACUUCAAUCUAAAGCAAAUAAAAGGCGCAGGAAACUAACACCAAUUAAAAACCCCUUAAAUUUAAACCAAACAGCUCUAAAUUAAUAAAAGACUUGACGGGAGAGUACAGAGAAGUCUCACAUUUUCCAUUAGUCACAUAAAGAUGUGACUUACCUGAUACAUACAUAUAAUGGAUAAUCAUUGAAAGGUGGGAUCAAUCGGAAACAAACUCGAUCUCAAUUCCACCAAUGGUGACAUCAUCGCCCCCAGCACGAGGGACUAUAGUCACGAUCACACUCUCAUCAUCUUCGGCUCCCAAGUCCUCUAACAGCUCAUUUAUCGCCAACCUCAGAUUGGUCUUCGUCUUCAUUUCUUUCAUAUGCUUGUGUGGUACGUUCACAAAGCUUCCUGCAAACUCACUAUUCUUAGGCCUACUCACUGAAUAAUCUUCGUCGUUGAUGUACACAUCAAACUUCACGAAAUUCUCUCUAUCUAGCUCUAUUCCUUUUAUCAGUAACACCUCUUCCUCGUCCUCUUUCUCCUUCUUGCUUCUUGAUUUCUUUGGCCUUGGAACUUCUACUCUUAUCACUGAGUUAAGAGCUUUUGGGAAGUCUCCGAUGCUGCUGAUCGUCGUCUUUGGGAGUUCGGCCGCUUUCGCUACUCCCGACUUGGAACUUUUGGUGGUCGUCUUCGCUUUGGCCUUCGUAUUUUUUGGUAGCCAUGGGAUUGAAUAUCCUGAUAUUGGUAUCUCAGCUUGGAAGUGUCGACACAGUCCGAGACCUUGACUUUAACAAGUNNNNNNNNNNNNNNNNNNNNNNNNNNNNNNNNNNNNNNNNNNNNNNNNNNNNNNNNNNNNNNNNNNNNNNNNNNNNNNNNNNNNNNNNNNNNNNNNNNNNCAUUGAAGUNGAGAUAGUAACGGUGGAAAGGGAGGAAAAGCCAUGAAGCAUGAACCUGGAGUUCUAGGUCGGUAUACCCAACCUGAUCAUAAGCCCCUUGGCAAUAGGUGCAAUGGACAUUAGCCUGUUGCUUGAAACUACGCGGAUCAUCAUCAGGAAGAGCUUUCUGCAGCUCAAUGGCCUUUUUAUACUUGGCUAAGUACUCUUUGCUGACCAAGUGAGCAGCUGGCCUGGUACGCAUGGGGGAACCUGAGGAAGGUAGCUGGAAAUCUAUAAUCUUUGUGGUGACUGGCGGGCAACAAUUGUGGGCGUUACACCAUCAGGCACGGUGGCGGUACCACACUUGGAUAUAUCCGGUGCCUGGAUGGGAGCCCCAAAGGCUAAUGGCUUAGUGGCGCCGAGACCGGCAGCAGCACCAUACAGCCCUCCUAUGCCAAGAAGCACAUUCCUCCUAUCUAACUUCCCUGGGGAAGUUUCUCGAAUGUCGGAGGUAGAAUCCGAGUUUGGAUCACCAUUCGCAGCAUUGCACGACACCUUACUAGGAGCAAAUCUGCGGCUUCGGUUUCUGGCUAUGGGGACAUGAGAAACCCUGUGAAACAAGGGAGAAGGUGGCAAGGCUGAAAUGUUGGUGGUGUUGGCGAUGGCGGUGGAGGUUGUGAGCGACCAAGGCAAAGAAGCCAUAGCUUUAGAGGAGAAGUGAUGAGUGAUAACGCGCUAAGGCCUCGGUCUCCAUAUAUAAUGAAGAGGGGUAGGCAUUUUUACCUUGGAGAAUCGAGAUGCUGGGAAAAUGCUUGUCGUAGAAAAGUCGAUAAAUAAAAAGAUGAGAAGGACAAGGAAAAUUGAUUUUCUGCAUCCGCGUGGGCCCCGGAAAUCUCCCACUAUCCAUUUGUAGCCUUGCUUUUGCUACAUGCUUAUCUUCAAUAUUGACUGUAAAUGCUGCAUCGUCGUAUGGAUUACAAAUUUAUAAGUGCGAAUUUUAUAAGUUUAAGAUUUCAGACACGUGUUGUGAGUGCAGAGAAAAAGGAGGGGUGGAUUUUUGGGAUUUAUGUUUGUGGUUUAUUAGACGACGUCAUAUGGAUUAUAAGUGCGAAUCUUAUAACUUUAAGAUUUCAGACACGUGUUGUAUUGGUUGGCAAUCAUAAGAUUCCGUACCUACCUUGAUAAAAUUAUGUUAUAUUAAAUAUAAAGUAAAUUGUUUUAAUAAAAUUAAACAAAAAUAUUUUUAUAUCAAAUUAAAAAUAUCAAUAGUAUAAUUUCAUAUAUUAUUUUUUAAAAAAAUCAUAUAAGUUUAUUAACUACUUACAUAUUUUUAAUAAAUAUAAAAUAAAAAUAAUAUAAUACAUUUAUUUUAAAAAAUAAGUUUAUGACCAUAGUUGAUAAUUACAACUUUAAAAUCAAAUUCAAAAUAAUAGUUAUCAAUUAUGAUUUUNNNNNNNNNNNNNNNNNNNNNNNNNNNNNNNNNNNNNNNNNNNNNNNNNNNNNNNNNNNNNNNNNNNNNNNNNNNNNNNNNNNNNNNNNNNNNNNNNNNNAGCCAUGAAGCAUGAACCUGGAGUUCUAGGUCGGUAUACCCAACCUGAUCAUAAGCCCCUUGGCAAUAGGCGCAAUGGACAUUGGCCUGUUGCUUGAAACUACGCGGAUCAUCAUCAGGAAGAGCUUUCUGCAGCUCAAUGGCCUUUUUAUACUUGGCUAAGUACUCUUUGCUGACCAAGUGAGCAGCUGGCCUGGUACGCAUGGGGGAAUCUGAGGAAGGUAGCUGGAAAGGUAUAGGCUUUGUGGUGACUGGCGGGCAACAAUUUGUGGGAAUUACACCAUUAGGCACGGUGGCGGUACCACACUUGCGUAUAUCCGGUGCCUGGAUGGGAGCCCCAAAGGCUAAUGGCUUAGUGGCGCCGAGACCGGCAGCAGCACCAUACAGCCCUCCUAUGCCAAGAAGCACAUUCCUCCUAUCUAACUUCCCUGGGGAAGUUUCUCGAAUGUCGGAGGUAGAAUCCGAGUUUGGAUCACCAUUCGCAGCAUUGCACGACACCUUACUAGGAGCAAAUCUGCGGCUUCGGUUUCUGGCUAUGGGGACAUGAGAAACCCUGUGAAACAAGGGAGAAGGUGGCAAGGCUGAAAUGUUGGUGGUGUUGGCGAUGGCGGUGGAGGUUGUGAGCGACCAAGGCAAAGAAGCCAUAGCUUUAGAGGAGAAGUGAUGAGUGAUAACGCGCUAAGGCCUCGGUCUCCAUAUAUAAUGAAGAGGGGUAGGCAUUUUUACCUUGGAGAAUCGAGAUGCUGGGAAAAUGCUUGUCGUAGAAAAGUCGAUAAAUAAAAAGAUGAGAAGGACAAGGAAAAUUGAUUUUCUGCAUCCGCGUGGGCCCCGGAAAUCUCCCACUAUCCAUUUGUAGCCUUGCUUUGCUACAUGCUUAUCUUCAAUAUUGACUGUAAAUGCUGCAUCGUCGUAUGGAUUACAAAUUUAUAAGUGCGAAUUUUAUAAGUUUAAGAUUUCAGACACGUGUUGUGAGUGCAGAGAAAAAGGAGGGGUGGAUUUUUGGGAUUUAUGUUUGUGGUUUAUUAGACGACGUCAUAUGGAUUAUAAGUGCGAAUCUUAUAACUUUAAGAUUUCAGACACGUGUUGUAUUGGUUGGCAAUCAUAAGAUUCCGUACCUACCUUGAUAAAAUUAUGUUAUAUUAAAUAUAAUGUAAAUUGUUUUAAUAAAAUUAAACAAAAAUAUUUUUAUAUCAAAUUAAAAAUAUCAAUAGUAUAAUUUCAUAUAUUAUUUUUUUAAAAUAAUCAUAUAAGUUUAUUAACUACUUACAUAUUUUUAAUAAAUAUAAAAUAAAAAUAAUAUAAUACAUUUAUUUUAAAAAAUAAGUUUAUGACCAUAGUUGAUAAUUACAACUUUAAAAUCAAAUUCAAAAUAAUAGUUAUCAAUCAUGAUUUUAACUUUAAAUUUAAAAUCGUAAUUAGUGACUAUAAUAUUAAUUAUAAUUUUGAAUUUUUUAUCAAAUAUUCAAAGUCGCAAUCACCACUUACGAUUUUAAGUUUAAAAUUAAAAUAGUGGUUGUUGAUUAUGAUUUUGAUCAUUUUAAAAAAAAUUAAAAUCAUAGUCAUCAACUACAAUUUUAUGACAUGAAGAAUUACGAUAUUAUGAUAUGAAUGCCUAUAUCAUGGAGACAUAUAUCACCUUUUUUUUGAAUAAAAAUACAUAGCCUAAAUUAUUAUCUCCACCAAUUUUCUUUAUUAUCUUUGAAAAAACAAACCUUUCAAUGUAGGGACGUUGAAUAUGGUUAAAGAGUGAAAUUGGUUAUCUUGUAUGAAUAUUUAUAUAGGAAUAAACUAAGGUAUCAACUAUGUACUUGGGGAGCUCUCCAUCUUUAUCAUGUGUGUAUAGAAAACUAAAAAUUGUUGAAUGAAAAUACAAAUAAUGCGAAUAAGAUAUAAAGAAUUGAAUCAAAUAUGAUAAAACAAGAUUAAAGUAUAAAUACAUAAUUGCGGUAUAAAGCAAAACAUGCCAAGAAAUGGUCCGCUUACAAUAUAGAAAUGUACUUACCAAAAAAAAACAACACCAAUCAAGCGUUGCAGCGUAUACAUUUUCAAGUUUCAUUUUUUUCUACCCUCAUUCAAGAUCUCGAUCUUGUCAUACAUAUUUAAUAGUCUAAAUUUUUUAUUUUGUAAUUAUGACUACAAUGCCUUAACUUUUGUCAAGAAAAGUAUAAAGGAAAAAAUAUAUAUUAAGAAAAAUGUUAUUUAUUUUGGGUGAAACUUAUAUUUUCUAAAAAUUAUUUAAUUUUUAUAUACAAUAGUUAAUAUGAGUAAAAUAAGUUUAAACUAAUAUAUAAAAAUAAUUUAUUAAUUUUAAUUUACUUGUAGAUACUUCUUCAAUAUUGUAGCUAGACUAGACAUGGUAUUAUUUUCAAUUCAAUCACAGUUAUUAUUAAGUCAUGUGAAAGUUGUUUUAUGUCCGCAAUUUAGGGAAAAAUACG
rnacentral:lncRNA from 1 species